UAUACGACCGUACCGCAAACCGACACUGGUGCGCGAGAUGAGUAUUCUAAGGCGCUUGAGAGAACUCAGGAGAAGGAACUCGGCAAAUUGACACCGUAACUUCGGAAGAAGGUGUGCCCUAUUAGUGUGUAGUGAACAACGAAGCAUGAAUGGGUUGCAAAAAAUCGGUGGCUGCGACUGUUUAUUAAAAACACAGCACUCUGCAAACACGAAAGUGGACGUAUAGGGUGUGACGCCUGCCCGGUGCUGGAAGAUUAAAUGAUGGGGUGCAAGCUCUUGAUUGAAGUCCCAGUAAACGGCGGCCGUAACAAAAACGGUCCUAAGGUAGCGAAAUUCCUUGUCGGGUAAGUUCCGACCUGCACGAAUGGCGUAACGAUGGCCACACUGUCUCCUCCUGAGACUCAGCGAAGUUGAAAUGUUUGUGAUGAUGCAAUCUCCCCGCGGAAAGACGGAAAGACCCCAUGAACCUUUACUGUAGCUUUGUAUUGGACUUUGAACAGAUCUGUGUAGGAUAGGUGGGAGGCUUUGAAGCAGGGUCGCUAGAUCUUGUGGAGCCAACGUUGAAAUACCACCCUGGUGUGUUUGAGGUUCUAACCUAGGUCCAUUAUCUGGAUCGGGGACAGUGCAUGGUAGGCAGUUUGACUGGGGCGGUCUCCUCCCAAAGCGUAACGGAGGAGUUCGAAGGUACGCUAGUUACGGUCGGACAUCGUGACGAUAGUGCAAUGGCAUAAGCGUGCUUAACUGCGAGACUGACAAGUCGAGCAGAUGCGAAAGCAGGACAUAGUGAUCCGGUGGUUCUGUAUGGAAGGGCCAUCGCUCAACGGAUAAAAGGUACUCUGGGGAUAACAGGCUGAUACCGCCCAAGAGUUCAUAUCGACGGCGGUGUUUGGCACCUCGAUGUCGGCUCAUCUCAUCCUGGGGCUGUAGCCGGUCCCAAGGGUAUGGCUGUUCGCCAUUUAAAGAGGUACGUGAGCUGGGUUUAAAACGUCGUGAGACAGUUUGGUCCCUAUCUUCCGUGGGCGCUGCAGAUUUGAGGAAGCCUGCUCCUAGUACGAGAGGACCGGAGUGGACACACCUCUGGUGUAUCGGUUGUCACGCCAGUGGCAUUGCCGAGUAGCUAAGUGUGGAAGAGAUAACCGCUGAAAGCAUCUAAGCGGGAAACUCGUUUCAAGAUGAGAUCUGCCGGGGCCUUGAGCCCCCUAAAGAGUCGUUCAAGACCAGGACGUUGAUAGGUCAGGUGUGGAAGCAAAAAAC
rnacentral:rRNA from 1 species